CCCCCAAAUGACCGAUGCCGACAGAAUAUUCUCAAGGCUUACGCGGCUGUGACAGAUUUGAAUAGCUACGACAUUCUUGAGCCAUGCUACCGCUACCCAGGCAACAAGGUCACGAGUCUGCCUCUUGGCCACCAUCAUUUGGGGGUGAUUGAGAAGCCUCUACACAAGAGAAAGAAUGUUCAGUUACGAUUCACCUCUUUGGCUAUUAGGAAAGGACAACAUGGUUACAUCGAGUCCCCAGUCGGCAAACGCGUUUCACAUCCCAUGCUUUAAUGAUGAUUUCGCAACUGCAUGGUUAAACAACGAAGCAGUUCGGGAAGCAAUCCACGCAGCACCGGCGAGUGUGGCAGGUC